CCCUUAGAUGUUCUGGGCCGCACGCGUGCUACACUGAGUGGAUCAGCGGGUCAGGUUGCGCGAAAGUGUUUCCUAAUCUUUAAAUCCGCUCGUGAUGGGGAUUGACGGUUGCAAUUUUCCGUCAUGAACGAGGAAUACCUUGUAAGCGCGGGUCAUCAUCCCGCGCUGAAUACGUCCCGGCCCUUUGUACACACCGCCCGUCGCUCCUACCGAUUGAGUGGUCCGGUGAGGCUUUGGGAUCUGAGCGGAAAGAGCGUUUCGCUGUUUCUGCUCGGAAAACUCAGUCGAACCUUAUCAUUUAGAGGAAGGAGAAGUCGUAACA
rnacentral:rRNA from 1 species